rnacentral:rRNA from 1 species
CCUACGGGGGGCUGCAGUGAGGAAUAUUGGUCAAUGGGCGCAAGACUGAACCAGCCAUGCCGCGUGCAGGAUGAAGGUUCUAUGAAUCGUAAACUGCUUUUCUAAGGGAAGAAACCUACUUACGUGUAAGUAGUUGCCGGUACUUUAGGAAUAAGCAUCGGCUAACUCCGUGCCAGCAGCCGCGGUAAUACGGAGGAUGCGAGCGUUAUCCGGAUUUAUUGGGUUUAAAGGGUGCGUAGGCGGAUCAUUAAGUCAGUGGUGAAAUCUUUCGGCUCAACUGGAAAAUUGCCAUUGAUACUGAUGAUCUUGAAUGCAGUUGAGGUAAGCGGAAUGUGUAAUGUAGCGGUGAAAUGCUUAGAUAUUACACAGAACACCGAUUGCGAAGGCAGCUUGCUAAACUGUGAUUGACGCUGAGGCACGAAAGCGUGGGGAUCAAACAGGAUUAGAUACCCCUGUAGUC